rnacentral:rRNA from 1 species
AGUUCGAUCAUGGCUCAGAUUGAAACUGGCGGAUGCUUUACACAUGCAAGUCGAACGGCAGCACGGACUUCGGUCUGGUGGCGAGUGGCGAACGGGUGAGUAAUGUAUCGAACGCCUAGUAGCGGGGGAUAACUACGCGAAAGCGUAGCUAAUACCGCAUACGCCCUUCGGGGAAAGCGGGGGACCUUCUCGGGCCUCGUACUAUUAGAGCGGCCGAUAUCGGAUUAGCUAGCUGGUGGGGUAACGGCUCACCAAGGCGACGAUCCGUAAGCCCGGUUUGCGAGGACGACUACCACACUGGGACUGAGACACGGCCCAGACUCCUACGGAGGCAGCAGUGGGGAAUUUUGGAGGUCGGGGGAAACCCCUGAUCCGUCAUCCCGCGUGUAAAUGACAAAGGCCUUCGGGUUGUAAAGCACUUUUUGGCAGGAAAGAAACGGCACGGGAUAAUACCCUGUGCAAAUCGAUCCGCUGUACCUGCAGAAUAAGCACCGGCUAACUACGUGCCAGCAGCUGCGGUAAUACGUAGGUAAGCGUUAACUGGAAUUACUGGGCGUAAAAGCGCGCAGGCGGUUCGGAAAGAAAGAUGUAAAUCCCAGAGUCAACUUUGGAACUGCAUUUUUAACUACCGAGCUUAUGUGUCGAUAGGUGUGGAAUUCCGCGUAGCAGUGAAAUGCAGGGAUAUGCGGAGGAACACCGAUGGCGAAGGCAGCUCUCCAAUAACACUGACGCUCAUGCACGAGCGUGGGGAGCAAACAGGAUUAGAUAAUUCUGGUAGUCCACGCCCUAAACGAGUCAACUAGCUGUUGGGGCCUUCGGCCUUCGUAGCGCAGCUAACGCGCAGUUGACCGCCUGGGGAGGCCGGUCGCAAGAUUAAAACUCAAAGGAAUUGACGGGACCCGCACAAGCGGUGCGGAUGAUGGAUUAAUCUGAUGCAACGCGAAAAACCUUACCUACCCUGAUGAUGUCUGAAUCCCGAAGAGAUUGGGAGUGCUCGCAAGAGAACCGGAACACAGGUGCUGCAUGGCUGUCGCCGCUCGUGUCGUGAGAUAAGUCGGGCGUUGUCAAGUCCCGCAACGAGCGCAACCCUUGUCAUUACUGUUACGAAAGGGCACUCUCAUCGAGACUGCCGGUGACAAACCGAGGAAGGUGGGGAUGACGUCGUCCUCAUGGCUCCGGCGGCAGCGGGCUUCACAUCGUCAUAAUGGUCGGGACAGAGGUCGCUAACCCCGCGAGGGGGAGCCACAAAUCCCAGAAACCUGAUCGUAGUCCGGAUCGCAGUCUGCAACUCGACUGCGCAGGCUGGAAUUGCUAGUAAUCGCGGAUCAGCAUGUCGCGGUGAAUACGUUCCCGGGUCUUGUACACACCGCCCGUCACACCAUGGGAGUGGGUUUUACCAGAAGUAGUUAGCCUAACCGUAAGGAGGGCGAUUACCAUUGCAGGAUUCAUAUGACCGGGGUGAAGUCGUAACAAGGUA